rnacentral:rRNA from 1 species
GACGUAGGAUGCAAGCGUUGUCCGGAAUUAUUGGGCGUAAAGAGUUCGUAGGCGGUUAUCUAAGUCUGGUGUUAAAGCCCGAAGCUCAACUUCGGCAUGGCAUUGGAAACUGGAUAGCUAGAGUGUGGUAGAGGUAUCGGGAAUUCCUGGUGUAGCGGUGAAAUGCGUAGAUAUCAGGAGGAACACCGGCGGCGAAGGCGGCUAUCUGGACAGAGUCUGACGCUGAGGCGCGAAAGCUAGGGGAGCAAACAGG